AUGUCGAUCACGCCGGGGCCGCCCCCUCCCGCCCCCUGGCGGCCGGCGCGACCCGAUUGGUCGGAGGAGGUCGGCGAGGCGGAAAACCCGGGGCGGAUUUCUGGGCGCUUUUGUUCCCGCAGUGCAGAUUUCCCUGGCCCGGCCCUGGAGAUGAGUGAACGGGUGAACCGAGGUACGGACGUGGUUAGGCUGAUGACAGCACAGCUGCCAUUCCUGCGGUGGGUGGCUGUACGGGGUGCCCAGUCCAGGACUACUUGGGCCAGGACCGAGCUUCUCAAUGUCUGCAUGGACACCACGCACCACAAGGAAAAGGCAGGCCUGGAGGACAAUUGUACGAGCAGUGCAGCCCGUGGAAGAAGAACUCCUGGUGCUCCACCAACAGCAGCCAGGAAGCCCAUAAAGACAUCUCCUGCCUAUACAGUUUCAACUGGGACCACUGUGGAAAGAUGGAGCCUGCCUGCAAAUGGCACUUCAUCCAGGACACCUGCCCCUGCAAGUGCUCCCCCAACUUGGGGCCCUGGAUUCAGCAGGUGAAUCGGAGCUGGCGCAAAGAGCGGACCCUUGACGUGCUCUUGAGCGCAUCGCGCCCCUCCCACACUGCUGGGAGGAUGGCCGCACCUCCUCCACCUGCAAGAGCACCUGGCACAGGGGCUGGAACUGGCGUUCAGGUAUAACCAGUGUCCCGUGGGAGCUGCCUGCCAUCCCUGCUGUGUGUGAGGAAACGUGGAGUCACUCCUACAAGGCCAGCAACUACAGCCGUGGGAGCAGCCACUGAAUCCAGAUGUGGUUUGACCCAGCCUCAGGGCAUCCCUACGAGGAGGUGGUGAGGUUCUAUGCUGAAGCCAUGAGUGGAGCCCGGCUCCAUGGUGCCUGGUUUCUCCCGCCCAGCCUGUCCCAGCUGCUGUGGCUGCUCACUCACCUGAGUUCCUUCCUCUCUGAGCUGAUGCACACUGAUGGAGUGCAGUCACCCCACACCACAGCAAGACCUUCCAUCCACCGCUGUCACGCAUCAGGACCGAAGGACACUUUGGGCCGUGUGUACCAGGUAGUCCAGCCCAAAGGCUCUGACAUUGCUGAGGUGUCCUUGGCUCGAUCACACCCCUUGUUCAUCACAAACACAGAACGAUACAAGGACGAGAACCAAGGGCAGUCACGGGACCUGGGGCGGGCACUGCAGCCUUGCACCGGGUCCUUCCUGUGUUCUGCAGACACGCUUACCCGCUGA